AGCGGCUCAGAGGCGCUCUGACACCAUUCACUCCAGAGUCCUACUAGUCCAAGGACCUGCGCGUAGACACGCUCUGAACAGCUCGACACGGACGCCUUUCUCCAUUGUGAUUUCCUGAGGGCAUCUUUUGGAUUAUUUUUCAUUCAAGACUUUCAAAACAGAGAAGAAAAAAAAAACUGUGCUUUCACAUUUUCCUCAGAGAAAGGGAGCUGUUUUUAUAUGUUUGACUUCUCAUUGCAUUGGGUCAAAGUGUGAAUCCUUAAGGUGAAGGACAAGUGCAAUGUGCGCCAGACUUGUUUAUGGGAUUUGCCUCACAUGCGCGUAAGGAAGGUGUAUUCUGUGUUGGAGCGCAGAGUUUGUUCCAGAGGACGCAGGCCGUUGUGAAUAAUAAGAAAACUUCUCAGCCUAAGAGUUUCAAGCAAGAACAAGCAACGCGUCUGGCCGAGCUGCUCUGACUCUACAUCGUUUACCUCCCUGAGGGGAUGGUUGUGGAUCCUCUGGAGCCAGGAGCGACUCAGGGGCUCCUACGCGGCAGCUCAUUUUUCGUGUUUGAGGGAGACUUUACAUUAAAAGGAGAUGAGAGCCACAAUCUGUUGCUUCCUGCUGUGGACGACGUACCUGCUGGCCACUGCUGAGGAAGCGGAGUUUCCCCAGGAGCUGAUCGAUCGACUCUCCAACAGUGAAAUCCACAGCAUCAGCGACCUCCAGCGGCUACUGGAGAUUGACUCCGUAGGUACGGGAAACGAUGUUAUCGAGGAGCACAAGUACCACAAGCACCAAAACCACCAUAAGAACUCCUCCCAUCAUCAUGGUUACUACAAUGGACUGAAGAGCUCCCAGCUACACAGCCGACGCAAGAGGAGCAUUGUCGAAGAGGCUGUCCCAGCAGCUUGCAAGACACGGACGGUGAUCUAUGAGAUCCCCCGGAGCCAGGUGGAUCCCACGUCUGCCAACUUCCUGAUAUGGCCACCCUGUGUGGAGGUGAAGCGCUGCACAGGCUGUUGCAACACCAGCAACAUGUGCUGUCACCCGUUUCGCAAGCACCACCGCACCGUUAAGGUAGCCAAGGUGGAGUAUGUGAAGAGGAGACCCAAGCUGAAGGAGGUCUUUGUGCGGUUAGAGGACCACCUGGAGUGUGUGUGCACAUCACAACAUCAUGUGGUAGAACACUUAGAUGCAGAAACAGGCCAUCGUAGGGUUAAAGAUAAAAAAAGGAAACCUAGAAAGCUAAGGCCCACCAAGAAGUUAUUGGUGACAUAAUAAAGUUGCUCUUAUUACCCAAAGUCCACUGGAAGGCUGUGACAGGACACAGCAGAUGUGAGGUGAGACCUCCCAGAUCAAGGGACUGCUGCAUGGGAUGGACCGAAAUCAGAAGAGGACACCAUCUUCUUUGUCCGUCUCUCCACCCACCAUGCAAACUUUGUUCAAGUAAAAUAUACUUUCUCCUAAAGUCAUGAGACUGAAAAAUAGACAACACACUAAAAUACAGAAUGCCAAGGGUGCUUUAAAAAUCAGUGUUGAUGAGAGCAACUGAACUGUGCAGUCGAUUAGGAAGAAAAGCGAAGAUGCCAUGAAGCUUGCACUCGAAGAGGAUGGAACGAAUUUGGGAUGAACAAUUCAAAAGACUACCAAAAUGACAAAUUGACUGUUGGAUCAAACAUUUUUGGGAAUCCAGUGCUUUGAGUCAAAAAAGUGCCCCCAUGUUGUAUAAGCAACUGUUGCAUUCACAGGAAGAAAACAAAAGGAAGAUAGGAAUAAUGAUGCAAAGAAAAAGCUGGGAAGUGUUUAUCUCGCAGGACUACGAGAGGCAUCCAACAUUGUGACUGAUGGACAAUUUGUUCCAAUUAAGGAGUAAACAGCCUCAGAGACAUCCAGUUUUAAAUUUGCCAUACCUGCUCUGUACAAAUAAAUGUAAAAAAAAACAGAGGAUGCGCCGCUGCUUACAAACUAUUUAUGCGUGUGGACAUUUGCUUUUGUCACUUUCAAUGUUUAAGAAUGGACAAAAAAAUUUGCUUUUAAAAAUUUCUGCAGACAUGCAAAUGGUAUGUUUGGUCCAGUUCUUUGCUUUCACCAGUAUCACAUUCUCAGUGUCAUUUUUGUUUUUUAGCAGUUUUUUUUUUUAUCGUCAACCAUGUUUCGUAUUAUAUUGCAGUAUAUCUGAUUGAUGUCAAGUCUUGCAUAUGGCUCGGAUGUAUGUAUGCAAGGAGGAGAUGUGGGAGUCAGUACAGGAAAAUGUUUUAUUUUUGUUAUGAAAUAUAUUAUGCAUACUUAUAUCCAA